ACCUGGCUAGCUCAGUUGGUGGAGCUUGUGACUCUUGAUCUCAGGGUCAUGGGUUCAAGCCCCAUGUUGGGUG